rnacentral:rRNA from 1 species
GACGAACGCUGGCGGCGUGCUCAACACAUGCAAGUCGAACGGAAAGGCCCUGCUUUUGUGGGGUGCUCGAGUGGCGAACGGGUGAGUAACACGUGAGUAACCUGCCCUUGACUUUGGGAUAACUUCAGGAAACUGGGGCUAAUACCGGAUAGGAGCUCCUGCUGCAUGGUGGGGGUUGGAAAGUUUCGGCGGUUGGGGAUGGACUCGCGGCUUAUCAGCUUGUUGGUGGGGUAGUGGCUUACCAAGGCUUUGACGGGUAGCCGGCCUGAGAGGGUGACCGGCCACAUUGGGACUGAGAUACGGCCCAGACUCCUACGGGAGGCAGCAGUGGGGAAUAUUGCACAAUGGGCGGAAGCCUGAUGCAGCAACGCCGCGUGCGGGAUGAUGGCCUUCGGGUUGUAAACCGCUUUCGCCUGUGACGAAGCGUGAGUGACGGUAAUGGGUAAAGAAGCACCGGCUAACUACGUG